ensembl:snRNA U4 U4 spliceosomal RNA
AUUCUUGUGCAGAGGCAAUAUCAUAGUUUAUGAAGUUUAACUGAGACGUGAUCAUUGCUGGUUGAAAACUUAACCCAAUACCCUGCCUGGAUGACUUGAAAAACAGUCAGCUAUGGCAAUUUUUGUCAAUCUCUCAGGAGA